UAAAUUUUGAUUGAUGGAGGGGUAAGAAAAGUCACUGUACGUGUUUUCUUCUACCCUACGGUACCGUGAAAACGACCAUACAUGCAGGGAUCCCCGAUCUUCCGCUGAUACCAUACGCCACCGUUCUCGCUUCAUCACCAUAUAAUCCGGCCUUUGAUUCAUUUUCUUGCCCCAUCUCACUCUCACUCUCUCUCUCUCUCUCUCUUAGUUCCAACUUAUUUCUCUUGCCCCAUCUCACUCUCUUAGUUCCCAACUUAUUUGAUCUGAUGGAAAGCUUCACCAGUUCGCGAAUUCAACGGGAUUUGUUCAUAUUUUGAAACGACAAAUCUAAAUCACUGAUCGACAAGAUGUCCACUUCUACUGGGUUCCUCGUUUCUACUCAGGUAUGUAUUUUUGUUCAAACUUUUACUUCGAACUAUUAACGUGUUUACCCAAAUUCGAAAUACACACGAACCCUUUUUCAAGUUGGGUGGCCUAGAUUUCAAUUGGUAACCUAAAACUUGGGAAUCAUAAUUAGUAAUACGUAGUGUACACAUUGAUUAAGUUAUCUUUAUUAAAUGCAAAAAAAAAAAAAAUAUUUUUAAUCCUUAAUGAUAGAUACGAGACAUUGUUUUCUAGUCGUAUAAACCAAUUUUUAUGAAAACCAAUCUAUUUUUCUAAAACUAAUUUUCUUUUGUAGUUAUUCAAGGAUUCAUAGUUAAUGUUUUGAAUUUUUACCAAUUUCUACACACGUGUAAGUGAUAAAAAGUUUAUAAUUUGUAGGAUACAAAUUCAACGGAAGAGUUUAGGUUUUUCCUUAAAUACGAUUUUUCUGAAAUUUCAAACCAGAAAUUCCAGGGCUGUUGCAUAGCCAUAACAAUUGCUGAUAUGGUCGGCAUGGUCAUGCGAUUGUCCAAUAACGAAGGCGGUAGAUAUACUCUAUCACCACAACCGUUAAUUGAUGGAAACUAUACAUAUAUUCUAGACAUACAACGAUUUUGCACUGAGAUCGGGCUCGAAACUAUCAUUACAUAUCCGUUCACACGUGCUACGAGGGAAGAUAAAAAUUGGGAUGAGAGCUUCUAUGCAAUUAGAAAGCAUGAUAAAUACAAGCUUGAUGGAAUGACCUAUCUUAAUGACAAUGAUGAUAUACAAAAGGCAAUAUUGGAAAAUUUUGGGCCGAGAGGAAAAAAUUCUCCAUUCUAUGUGCUAUGUAUUUAGGUGAGUUUGUGGAUGCUGAUUAUGCAAAAGAGAGAAAGACAUUGGAGGACCUUUAUCAUUGUCCUUCCAAUGAGGGACAUUCUUCACGUAAAAGAUAAAGAUGGAAAAAUAAAGAAGAGGAACAUGCCUUGAUAAUUACCGGUUGUGAUACCAUGCCAAAAAAAGAUGCAAACAAUAGGGAUGUUUUGGCCUUGUAUCAUUUGCAUCUUUUUUUGGCAUGGUAUCACAACCGGUAAUUAUCAAGGCAUGUUCCUCUUUUUUUAUUUUUCCAUCUUUUACAUGAAGAAUGUCCCUCAUUGGAAGGACAAUGAUAAAGGUCCUCCAAUGUCUUUCUCUCUUUUGCAUAAUCGGCAUCCACAAACUCACAUAAAUACAUAGCACAUAGAAUGGGGAAUUUUUUUCUUCUCGGCCCAAAAUUUUCCAAUAUUGCCUUUUGUAUAUCAUCCUUGUCAUUAAGAUAGGUCAUUCCAUCAAGCUUGUAUUUGUUAUGCUUUCUAAUUGCAUAGAAGCUCUCAUCCCAAUUUUUAUCUUCCCUCAUAGCACGUGUGAACGGAUAUGUAAUGAUAGUUUCGAGCCCGAUCUCAGUGCAAAAUUGUUGUAUGUCUGGAAUGAAUGUAUAGCUUCCAUCAAUUAACGGUUGUGGUGAUAGAAUAUAUCUACAACCUUCGUUAUUGGACAAUCGCAUGACCAUGCCGACCAUAACAACAAUUGUUAUGGCUAGGCAACAGCCCUGGAAUUUCUGGUUAGAAAUUUCAGAAAAAUCGUCUUUAAGGAAAAACCUAAACUCUUCCGUUGAAUUCGUAUCCUACAAAUUAUAAACUAAUAUAUCACUUACACGUGUGUAGAAAUUGCUAAAAAUUCAAAGCAUUAACUAUGAAUCCAUGAAUAACUACAAAAGAAAAUUAGUUGUAGAAAAAUAUGUUGGUCUUAAUAAAAAUUGGUUUAUGCGAGUAGAAAACAAUGCCUCGUAUAUAUCGUUAAGAAUUAAAAAUAUUUUUUUUUUCAUUUAAUAAAGAUAACUUAAUCAAUGUGUACACUACGUAUUACUAAUUAUGAUUCCCAAGUUUUAGGGCACCAACUGAAAUCUAGGCCACCCAACCUGAAAAGGGUUCGGGUGUAUUUCGAAUUUGGGUAAACACAUUAAUAGUUCGAAAUAAAAAAUACAUACCUGAGUAGAAGCAAGGCACCGGUAGAGGGCACCAAUGAUGAUCCUUCCAAUUUGACAAGACAUUGAAGAUUUUGAAGGAUACCGGCGUAUACUCCCUACCCUCAUGGAUGCUUGAGGUUGGUGAAAAAACAAGACAUAUUCUUCACAGAUAAUCAAGGAAAACGCAAUAAUGAAUGUCUCUCAUGGGGCAUCGCCAAUGAGAAGGUUUUACUUGAUCGUAGUGCUUUGGAGGUUUACUAUGAUUUCAUGAAGAACUUUAAAGACAAGUUUAAGGUGUUUUUUUGAACAAAAAAACAUAUACGCUAUUGAGAUCGGUCUAGGCCCAUCUGGGGAUCUACGAUAUCCGUCUUGUAAUUCGGAGCAUGGUUGGGUUUAUCCAGGUGUUAGUGCAUUCUAGGUAAUCAUUGAUAUAACUGUUUUGUGUAACACUGAUAUUCAAGGGUAAAAGGUGUGUCCUAACUUUUCUUUAUUAUUUUCUUUUUUUAAUAUUUUUUUUUUGUAAUGAGUAUAUAAAGUAUUUUUGGUUGGUGGAAAUUAACGUAUUAGGGAAAAAGUUGGUAAACAAAUAAUGACAUCUCUCUCUUUAUACAUAUAUAUCAAGAUCAAGGGAAAACCACUCUGAGUUGUGAGAACUUAGAAAACUCGGCCUUCCCGAAUCCCGUGCGUGUUUUGCCCCAUUUUUUCACACCCCUAGAUUAAAAUGUUUAGAAAGACUGCCGUAUAAAAAAUAAACAAGGUUACGAUGAAACGUUAAACAAGGUUACGAGUAUUGUAACAUAAUAUCGGAAAUUGAAAGUUCAUAUGAUUCUGACCCUAAUCAAGUCGGGUUUUUUUUCGAUGAAACAAAGUUUGAUAGGUCUAAAACAAGAUUCUUCCUGAACUGGUGUUCUAAAACCUUGGUUGAACAUGGUGAUCAAGUUCUUUUUAAGGCAAAGAAAGUUUUUGGAAGAACGAGAAUCCUUAAUGCAAAGGGUCAGUUUGUUUGAAAGAAAAACAAAGAGUUCUUGUUAUUUUUUUUUGUUACACAAAGCUAUUAGAUUGCAAUUUUGAGAUGCCAUAUUUAAUUAUUUUUUGAUAUCUUAAAUUUCUCAACAGUUGUCGGGUGUUCAUUGGUGGUACAACCAUGAUACAAAAAGUCAUGCUGCUGAGCUAACUACUAGGUUUUUCAACUCAAUCGACAAUGAUGGUUAUGGCCCACUUAAAAUGUUAAAUAAGAAUGGAGUUGGAUUAAAAUUUGCAUUGGACAGAUCGUAUAUGGAUAAUGGAAAACAAUCAUCUAAAAAUCCCCGAUAGCUUGAAAAAUGAUGUAAUGCAAGUGGCGCUUGAUUAUAGUGAGAAGGUAUACAUUUCAACUUGGAUUGUCCGUCAUUGCAAGGACGAUAAAGAGUAUGCCAGUGUAAUGGCGAGGCCCUUAGAGAUGUCCAUAGAACUUUCCUAUACUAGCUAUAUAUAUCAUGGACUCGAUCAAUUGCUCAAUCAACCUUAAAAAUUUUCAACUUUUGUCAAGGAAAUGAACGGUAAGCUCAUAAAAAGGAUUUUGAGCCCUCAUAUUUGUUUGGGGCCAGUGUUAGUGUUAUG